rnacentral:rRNA from 1 species
CUCACUGAASGCGACGACGGGUAGCCGGCCUGAGAGGGUGACCGGCCACACUGGGACUGAGACACGGMMCAGACACCUACGGGAGGCAGCAGUGGGGAAUAUUGCACAAUGGGCGGAAGCCUGAUGCAGCGACGCCGCGUGAGGGAUGACGGCCUUCGGGUUGUAAACCUCUUUCAGCAGGGAAGAAGCCACAWGUGACGGUACCUGCAGAAGAAGCGSCGGCUAACUACGUGCCAGCAGCCGCGGUAAUACGUAGGGCGCAAGCGUUGUCCGGAAUUAUUGGGCGUAAAGAGCUCGUAGGCGGUUUGUCGCGUCUGCUGUGAAAGCCCGGGGCUCAACCCCGGGUCUGCAGUGGGUACGGGCAGACUAGAGUGCAGUAGGGGAGACUGGAAUUCCUGGUGUAGCGGUGAAAUGCGCAGAUAUCAGGAGGAACACCGAUGGCGAAGGCAGGUCUCUGGGCUGUUACUGACGCUGAGGAGCGAAAGCAUGGGGAGCGAACAGGAUUAGAUACCCUGGUAGUCCAUGCCGUAAACGUUGGGCACUAGGUGUGGGGGACAUUCCACGUUCUCCGCGCCGUAGCUAACGCAUUAAGUGCCCCGCCUGGGGAGUACGG